GACGAACGCUGGCGGCGUGCCUAAUACAUGCAAGUCGAGCGCUGAAGGUUGGUACUUGUACCUACUGGGUGAGCAGCGGACGGGUGAGUCACGCGUGGGGAAUCUGCCUUUGAGCGGGGGACAACAUUUGGAAACGUAUGCUAACACCGCAUAAAAACUUUAAACACAAGGUUUAAGUUUGAAAGAUGCAAUUGCAUCACUCAAAGAUGAUCCCGCGUUGUAUUAGCUAGGUGGUGAGGUAAAGGCUCAACAAUGCGUUGAUACAUAGCCGACCUGAGAGGGUGAUCGGCCAACAUGGGAACUGGACACGGCCCAAACCCCCACGGGAGGGAGCAGUAGGGAAACUUCGGCAAUGGACGGAAUGCUUACCGAGCAACGCCGCGGGAGUGAAGAAGGGUUUCGGGUCGGUAAACUCUGUUUGUAGGGAAGAACGGUGGUGUGGGUGGAAAGCUCAGCAAGUGACGGUAACGACACAGAAAGCAACGGCUAACUACGUG
rnacentral:rRNA from 1 species